rnacentral:rRNA from 1 species
GGUUUAAUUCGAAGCAACGCGAAGAACCUUACCAGGUCUUGACAUCUUCUGACAAUUCCAGAGAUGGAACGUUCCUUCGGGGACAGAAUGACAGGUGGUGCAUGGUUGUCGUCAGCUCGUGUCGUGAGAUGUUGGGUUAAGUCCCGCAACGAGCGCAACCCUUAUUGUCAGUUGCCAUCAUUAAGUUGGGCACUCUGGCGAGACUGCCGGUGACAAACCGGA